rnacentral:rRNA from 1 species
GACGAACGCUGGCGGCGUGCUUAACACAUGCAAGUCGAACGGAAAGGCCCUGCUUUUGUUGGGUGCUCGAGUGGCGAACGCGUGAGUAACACGUGAGUAACCUGCCCUUGACUUUGGGAUAACAUCAGGAAACUGGGGCUAAUACCGGGUAGGAGCUCCUGCUGCAUGGUGGGGGUUGGAAAAUUUCGGCGGUGGGGGCUGGACUCGCGGCUUAUCAGCUUGUUGGUGUGGUAGUGGCUUACCAAGGCUUUGACGGGUAGCCGGCCUGGGAGGGUGACCGGGCACAUGGGGACUGAGAGACGGCCCAGACGCGUACGGGAGGCAGCAGGGGAGAAUAUUGCACAAUGGGCGGAAGCCUGAUGCAGCAACGCCGCGUGCGGGAUGACGGCCUUCGGGUUGUAAACCGCUUUCGCCUUAGACGAAGCGUGAGUGACGGUAAUGGGUAAAGAAGCAACGGCUAACUACGUG